UACAGAGGUCCCAAGCGUUGUUCGGAUUCACUGGGCGUAAAGGGUGCGUAGGUGGUCGGGUAAGUCCGAUGUGAAAUCUUCGAGCUCAACUCGAAAAUGGCAUUGGAUACUAUUCGGCUGGAGGGUUGGAAGGGGGACUGGAAUUCUUGGUGUAGCAGUGAAAUGCGUAGAUAUCGAGAGGAACACCGGUGGCGAAGGCGAGUCCCUGGACAAUCCCUGACACUGAGGCACGAAAGCUAGGGGAGCAAACAGG
rnacentral:rRNA from 1 species